CGGAGGCUGGGGACCGGCGGCCUCGGCGAAGAAACCGGGCGCGGGGAGGCGGCAGGAGGGGGCGCUGCGAGGCCCGGCGGUCGCGGCAGGGAGGAAGUGCUGUCUUCGCGGCCCCGCGAAGCCGGUUUUGAUCUCGGCGGCGGGACCCUAGACUCCCAGCGGCUGGCGGGAGGGAGGGAGGCUCCUCCGCCGAGCCUCGCCCGGGACCCGAGCGGCGGCGGCGGGCGCUUCCCCCGCAGGAAGCGGCGGUUUUAGUCCUCGUGCGGCGGCGGCGGCGGUGCUUGGUCAGGACUCCGGGACUGAACCCAGAAGUGCGGCUGAGCGCCCUGGUCUUUCCCGCUCUCAGGAUUGGAAUGAAAACUGACCUUUUCCAGUCCUGUGGCCACUGCUGAGUUUUCUAAAUUUGCUGGCAUAUUGAGUGCAGCACUUUCACAGCAUCAUCUUCUAGGAUUUGAAAUAGCUCAACUGGAAUUCCAUCACCUCCACUAGCUUUGUUCGUAGUGAUGCUUCCUGAGGCCCACUUGACUUCACAUUCCAGGAUGUCUGGCUCUAGGAAGAUGAGACUAAGCCAGAAGACUGUAUACCAGAUGUCCCAGGCAAUGAACAUGCCAGGGAAUUUCUGGCUCACACACCAACCAAAGGACUUUGGAUGCCACUGGGGAAAGAAGUCAAAGUCAUGCAGUGCACAUGAAGAUCCCAUGUAUGACAUCAUAGGAGAGAAUAAAAGACACAAAAAGGAUAUAAGGUUGAGUUGAAUAUGUGGUGUUGGAAAAGACUCUUGAGAGUCCCGUGGACUGCAAGGAGAUCCAACCAGUCCAUCCUAAAGGAGAUCAGUCCUGGGUGUUCAUUGGAAGGACUGAUUCUGAAGCUGAAAUUCCAAUGCUUUGGCCACCUCAUGCAAAGAGUUGACUCACUGGAAAAGACCCUGAUGCUGGGAGGGAUUGGGGGCAGGAGGAGAAGGGGACGACAGAAGAUGAGAUGGUUGGAUGGCAUCACCGACUCAAUGGACAUGAGUCUGAGUAAACUCCGGGAGUUGGUGAUGGACAGGGAAGCCUGGUGUGCUGCGGUUCAUGGGGUCGCAAAGAGUCGGACAUGACUGAGUGACUGAACUGAACUGACUGAAUAUGGUUAUUUGGUCAAUCUUAUGUGUUUAGGAUACAAAAAUCAAAACAAUUACUAAAGGAUUCAAUGUCAGAUGACGAUGGGAGCAGCUCCAGCUCCUCAAAAUAGAAACACAAGAAAAAGAAGAAAGAAAAGCAUAGGAAAACGAAGAAAGAAAAGAAAAAGAAGAAAAAACGAAAGCAUAACUCUUCCAAGUCAAAUGAGAGUUUAAGAGCCUGGCUUGUUCAACAUUCUCUUCUCAAAAACCAAACACUGUGGCCAAAGAUGAGAGGACCCGUGGAGGAAGGUGGAGUCGGAGAGGAACAGGAGAGAGAGACGCCCAAAGGGAAGACGUGUGGUGUCCCAGGUGCAGGUUCUCACCUGCCUUCCAGGGAGGAUGUGAGUUGUGUGCUGCCAGGUGCUAGCUCUGGACACGCCUGACUUCAGGCUGGACAGCUUUUCCCCUUGUGCUCCUCCCUGCUGAUCCCCGUGGGUCCCAGCUCCUUAGAAACGCCUCGGGCAGGGCGGCCAGAUGAAGGAAGCCUCUGAGGAGCUUCUCCAGGUGCUGCCGCAGGUUCCACUUCCGGGGGGAACUACUUGUGCCCAGAGAGCUCAGGCUUGACUUCCCUCUGGCGCUGAGGAUAAUAAAAGCUAUUUAUUUUAAAAAUACUCAUUUAUUUUUAAAUCAUAAUAAUAUACUCAAGGCCUCCAAAUUUAAAAGGUAUAUAAGGGGAAUGCCCUGGCAGUCCGUGGUGAGGACUCUGUGCUUUCCCCACCAGGGCCCGGGUUCAAUCACUGACUGGGGGACUAAGAUCCUGCAAGCUGCGAGGUGUAAUCAGAAAAAAAAAAAAAAUUAUAAAAGGUAUACAUGGUUUUAAUCAUAAAAACCACUCCUCUCUUCUUCCCCAGUUAUUCAGUUCCCUUUCCCAAUGGCUA